UAAGAAGCAGGUCACAUUGGGCCAUGAAAUAAAUUGGGAUGGGUUAGGAUGGGUAAAAAAUUACCCAUCUAAGUUUUAUCACAGGCCAGGAUGAGUUUUCAGGAUGAGUUUUCUAACUUUCUAACCUAAAAGUAAAAGGUAUCAGCAUUCUCGCUUGACUUUUGAAUCUAUCACGCUUGACUCGCUUUUCAAUCCCAUUCGUGGAUUCAAGUUUCUUGCCCUAAAUCACCGUCAUCGUAAAUUCCAAACCCCAUAAUUUUGUGAAUCUAUCAGCCGUUUUGCUUGCGUCGCUUGCCAUCACUAAACUCGAUUUUGGGAUAAGGGUUUGUAUCCAAUUAAGGAAUAACGCCAUGUAAAGAAUUAUGAGAAAGAUCUAAACGCUGUAAAGAGCUUUGAAAACUGGGAAUGUUACCACUCAACAUGUUGUUACUAAAGUUCAAAACCUUCAAACCACCACAAGAAGACAGCAACGGAGGCGUGAUUACCGCCAGCUGAUUGUUGGAAACAUCAAGCGUUUCCAACGUUUGAAUCGCGCAAACAAGAGACGAACAAGAAGAAGCAUCUUGGAUGUUGAACAGAGAGAAAGACGAGAGGGAAAGGCCGGUGAAAAACGAAUUGUUUGGGUUGCAUAAAACCCGUCCAUGAACAGGGGUUUGUUAAGUCUUGUGAAGAAGAAUUCUGGUAUGAAAUGUCUGGUUCAUUCGUUGCCGAUUCAGCUUCAAGUACUCAACGUUUCAGGUUCAUUCGUUGUGCCGUUGCCGAUUUCCGAGCCGGUUUCAAUCGAUGGAUGUGAGAUUUCGUUGAUUGAUUCGAAUCAUUGUCCCGGUGGUCAAGACAUAAAGCAUCACAAAUCACUAUAGAAUCAUAUCAUAUCUACAAGUAUGUCAAAGGAUUUCAAAAGCUUUUGUGCCUAUAAACUCUUUGGAUGUUGUACAACUGAGUUAAUACAUUUUUUUAAUGAGCUA